rnacentral:rRNA from 1 species
CCUACGGGGGGCUGCAGUGGGGAAUAUUGGACAAUGGGCGAAAGCCUGAUCCAGCCAUGCCGCGUGUGUGAAGAAGGCCUUCGGGUUGUAAAGCACUUUCAGUGGGGAAGAAAGCCUUGGGGCUAAUACCCUCGAGGAAGGACAUCACCCACAGAAGAAGCACCGGCUAACUCCGUGCCAGCAGCCGCGGUAAUACGGAGGGUGCGAGCGUUAAUCGGAAUUACGGGGCGUAAAGCGCGCGUAGGCGGUCUGAUAAGCCGGUUGUGAAAGCCCCGGGCUCAACCUGGGAACGGCAUCCGGAACUGUCAGGGUAGAGUGCAGGAGAGGAAGGUAGAAUUCCCGGUGUAGCGGUGAAAUGCGUAGAGAUCGGGAGGAAUACCAGUGGCGAAGGCGGCCUUCUGGACUGACACUGACGCUGAGGUGCGAAAGCGUGGGUAGCAAACAGGAUUAGAUACCCUGGUAGUC